rnacentral:rRNA from 1 species
UGGGGAAUUUUGGACAAUGGGCGAAAGCCUGAUCCAGCAAUGCCGCGUGUGUGAAGAAGGCCUUCGGGUUGUAAAGCACUUUUGUCCGGAAAGAGAUCCUCUGGGUUAAUACCUCGGGGGGAUGACGGUACCGGAAGAAUAAGCACCGGCUAACUACGUGCCAGCAGCCGCGGUAAUACGUAGGGUGCAAGCGUUAAUCGGAAUUACUGGGCGUAAAGCGUGCGCAGGCGGUUUUGUAAGACGGAUGUGAAAUCCCCGGGCUUAACCUGGGAACUGCAUUCGUGACUGCAAGGCUAGAGUAUGGCAGAGGGGGGUAGAAUUCCACGUGUAGCAGUGAAAUGCGUAGAGAUGUGGAGGAAUACCGAUGGCGAAGGCAGCCCCCUGGGCCAAAUACUGACGCUCAUGCACGAAAGCGUGGGGAGCAAACAGGAUUAGAUACCCUGGUAGUCCACGCCCUAAAACGAUGUCAACUAGUUGUUGGGAUUCAUUUCCUUAGUAACGUAGCUAACGCGUGAAGUUGACCGCCUGGGGGAGUACGGUCGCAAGAUUAAAACUCAAAUGAAUUGACGGGGUCAUAGCUGUUU